RRNACUGACUGCUAUCGGAGUGGGACUAAGCCAUGCGAGUUGUACGCCCCUUAGCUAUGCAAGGGACGUAGCGAACGGCUCAGUAACACGUAGCUAACUUACCCUGAAGUCGUGGAUAACCCCGGGAAACUGGGAUUAAUCCGCGAUAGGCCAUAACUCCUGAAUGGGUAAUGGCCGAAAUGGGCUGGUAGGCAUGCUUUACUAGUUCGCUUCAGGAUGGGGUUGCGGCCGAUCAGGUUGUUGGCGGGGUAAUGGCCCACCAAGCCUAUAACCGGUACGGGCUUUGAGAGAAGGAGCCCGGAGAUGGACACUGAGACAAGGGUCCAGGCCCUACGGGGCGCAGCAGGCGCGAAACCUUCGCAAUGUGCGAAAGCGCGACGAGGCUACUCCGAGUGCUAUCCGCUGAGGAUGGCUUUUCUCAAGUCUAAAAAGCUUGGGGAAUAAGGGGAGGGUAAGUCUGGUGUCAGCCGCCGCGGUAAUACCAGCUCCCCGAGUGGCCAGGACGAUUAUUGGGCUUAAAGCGUCCGUAGCCGGCCCUGCAGGUCUCUUGUUAAAUUCACUGGCUUAACCAGUGAGCUGCAGGAGACACCACAGGGCUAGGAGAUGGGAGAGGCGGACGGUAUUCUGUGGGUAGGGGCAAAAUCCUCUGAUCCAUAGAGGACCACCAGUGGCGAAGGCGGUCCGCCAGAACAUGCUCGACGG
rnacentral:rRNA from 1 species